AUAAUGGAUAAGUAAGGUUUAGAGGAACAAAAAUUAAUGACAAAAAAAAAUCUGAUAUAUAUAUAUAUUGAAUUAGGCUAGAAUAUUAUUAAUAGCACCAAGUCAUUAGUGCUACUAGGUUUUGGUCCUUGAAUAAAGAAAUGUUCGGUUAUGAUGAUUGCAGUUUCCUAGAGUUUAGUAGUGGUUGGUGGGAUAGUAUCACUACAACAAAAAUGGUCUAUAGCGACACUUUUAAAUAUAGGUACAUGUCAAAAAAGUGCUGCUAGCUAAAAUUACCGACACUUUUAAAAAGUGUUGCUAUAUAUGGGGUCGCUAGGUAUAUAGUGACAGUUAAAGAGUAUUGCUAUAAUCUAAAAGAGUGCUGCUAAUUUACCAACACUUAUUUAAGCAUUUAGUAAUCGCCGAAACUCUAUCUCGUUGGCUGCGGUGGCGGAGGAGGACGACAGUAAAGGCUCUUCGUCUAGAAUUUCAGUGGAUUGAGUGAAGAGAGAAGAAAAGAUGGUAAUUGAUUUUUCUUUUUUUUUUCUUUUCUGUUUGUAAUCGGGCCAAAUGGACUGGGUGUGGUGGGUUGAGUAGAGUAAUCUUUUAUUUUUGGUUGGAUUGGGCCUUAU
rnacentral:lncRNA from 1 species